GACGAACGCUGGCGGCGUGCUUAACACAUGCAAGUCGAACGAAAAGAGGGAAAGAGCUUGCUCUUUCCGGAAUUGAGUGGCCAACGGGUGAGUAACACGUAAACAACCUGCCUUCAGGAUGGGGACAACAGACGGAAACGACUGCUAAUACCGAAUAAGUUCCAAGGGCCGCAUGGCCAUGGAAGAAAAGGUGGCCUCUACCUGUAAGCUAUCGCCUGAAGAGGGGUUUGCGUCUGAUUAGCUGGUUGGAGGGGUAACGGCCCACCAAGGCGACGAUCAGUAGCCGGUCUGAGAGGAUGAACGGCCACACUGGAAUUGAGACACGGUCCAGACUCCUACGGGAGGCAGCAGUGGGGAAUCUUCCGCAAUGGGCGAAAGCCUGACGGAGCAACGCCGCGUGAGUGAUGACGGCCUUCGGGUUGUAAAACUCUGUGAUCCGGGACGAAAAGGCAGAGUGCGAAGAACAAACUGCAUUGACGGUACCGGAAAAGCAAGCCACGGCUAACUACGUG
rnacentral:rRNA from 1 species